rnacentral:tRNA from 1 species
GGAGAUGUGGCCGAGUGGUCGAAGGCGCUCCCCUGCUAAGGGAGUAGACGGGGAACCGUCUCGAGGGUUCGAAUCCCUCCAUCUCCGCCA